CCUGCAUGGCUGUUCUUUGGAGCAGUAGUUGUCUACCUCCGUCCGCCUUCUCUCCCACCUAAGUGCGUGCCACCACCCCAUGGAAGAUUCGAUGGACACGGACAUGAGCCCCCUGACGCCCCAGGACUAUCUUUUCGGUCGUGAACUAAAGGCCGACAAAGAUGGUCACUUUAAGGUGGGUCAUGAUGAAAAAGCACCGGCUAUCUUGAAGAAUGGUCAGUUGAGAGGCUGCUGCAAAGGAUGAAUUGCACAUUGUUGAAGCAGAGGCAAUGAAUGAGGAAAGCAGCCCAACAGAAGUAACACUGACAACUUUGAAACUGUCUGUGCAGCCAACGGUUUCCCUCGGGGGCUCUGAAAUAACACCGCCCGUGAUCUUGUGGUGGAAGUGUGGUUCAGGGCCUGCGCAUAUGAGUGGGACAGCACUUUAUAGCUGUGGAGGAAGAUGCAGAGUCAGAAGAUGAAGGUGAGGAUGGAAAAUGCUGAAGUAUAUCCGGAAAGAGGUCUGCUCCUGGAGGUGGCAGCAAGGUUCCUCAGAAAAAAGUAAAGCUUGCUGCUGCUGAAGAUGAUGAUGAUUUUGAUGACGAGGAAACCGAAGGAAAAGCUCCAGUGAAGAAAUCUGUACGGGAUACUCCAGCUAAAAUGCACAAACAUCAAACCAGAACGGAAAAGACUCAAGACCAUCAACACCAAGAUCAAAAGGUCAAGAAUCAAAAAACAGGGAAAAACUCCUAAAACACCCAAAGAACCUAGCUCUGUUGAAGACAUGAAGGCAAAAAUGCACGCGAGUAUAGAAAAAGGUGGUUCUCUUCCCAAGGUGGAAGCCAAGUUCAUCAAUUACGUGAAGAAUUGCUUUCGGAUGACUGCCCAGGAGGCUGUUCAAGAUCUCUGGCAGCAGAGGAAAUCUCUUUAAGAAAAUAGUUUAAACAGGUUGUUAAAAGUUUCCCGUCUUAUUUCAUUUCUGUAACAGUUAAUAUCUGGCUGUCCUUUUAUAAUGCAGACUGAGAACUUUCUCUACCGUGUUUGAUAAAUG